rnacentral:rRNA from 1 species
AGUGAACGCUGGCGGUAGGCCUAACACAUGCAAGUCGAACGGCAGCACAGUAUGAGCUUGCUCUUACGGGUGGCGAGUGGCGGACGGGUGAGGAAUACAUCGGAAUCUACUUUUUCGUGGGGGAUAACGUAGGGAAACUUACGCUAAUACCGCAUACGACCUACGGGUGAAAGCAGGGGAUCUUCGGACCUUGCGCGAUUGAAUGAGCCGAUGUCGGAUUAGCUAGUUGGCGGGGUAAAGGCCCACCAAGGCGACGAUCCGUAGCUGGUCUGAGAGGAUGAUCAGCCACACUGGAACUGAGACACGGACCAGACUCCUACGGGAGGCAGCAGUGGGGAAUAUUGGACAAUGGGCGCAAGCCUGAUCCAGCCAUACCGCGUGGGUGAAGAAGGCCUUCGGGUUGUAAAGCCCUUUUGUUGGGAAAGAAAAGCAGCAGGUUAAUACCCCGCUGUUCUGACGGUACCCAAAGAAUAAGCACCGGCUAACUUCGUG